AUGCUUGACUUCGACUCCGAAGACAUCAACGGUAUUGACGACGAUGCAGGAGACGAACCAGAACCACCGCCCACAGGGCGCUGGACUGCUACUUCAUCACAUGACGUAUACAUGGUGGACACCCCCAAAGAAGCCAAUGGCGAUGAGACAUCGGAGGAUGACACCUCCAAGAAGCAACCCAAGCGCCAACGUCAGCGGCGCCGCUCUAAGUCCCGCCAUAGCAAGAACAGCGAUAAUAAUAGUCCACGCGACUCUGGAAGAGACGACAACUGCACCAGCCGGUGGCAGAAUAUGAUCAAGAUGCAAACUGCAAACAUAGUACGAAUCUGA
rnacentral:rRNA from 1 species